AACAGUACAAAUUGCAAGGGGUUUUUUUGGGAUAUACUGUGCAUUUUGUAAUUACCUUACCUGGUAAUUAGACAAAGCACCCACCUAUAGGUGUAUAAAUA